rnacentral:rRNA from 1 species
UACGUAGGGGCAAGCGUUGUCCGGAAUCAUUGGGCGUAAAGAGCGCGUAGGCGGCCCGAUAAGUCCGCUGUGAAAGUCAAAGGGCUUAACCCUUGAAUGCCGGUGGAAACUGUCGGGCUAGAGUCCGGAAGAGGCGAGUGGAAUUCCUGGUGUAGCGGUGAAAUGCGCAGAUAUCAGGAGGAACACCGAUGGCGAAGGCAGCUCGCUGGGACGGUACUGACGCUGAGGCGCGAAAGCGUGGGGAGCAAACAGG